rnacentral:tRNA from 1 species
GCCAGUGUGACCGAGUGGUUUAAGGUGCCAGAUUUAAGAUUCUCCGGAAUAAAACCCUGGUGGGGCAACCCGCGCGAGUUCGAACCUCGUCGCUGGCA